rnacentral:rRNA from 1 species
CUCGUAGGCGGUUCGUCGCGUCCGGUGUGAAAGUCCAUCGCCUAACGGUGGAUCUGCGCCGGGUACGGGCGGGCUGGAGUGCGGUAGAGGAGACUGGAAUUCCCGGUGUAACGGUGGAAUGUGUAGAUAUCGGGAAGAACACCAAUGGCGAAGGCAGGUCUCUGGGCCGUUACUGACGCUGAGGAGCGAAAGCGUGGGGAGCGAACA